UAAAUUUAGUCAUAGCAUUGUAUGGGGCAAAUGUCGGAACAGCGUUUAUCACAGUAUCCUGCUGUUGAGGAUUAGGGGUUAAAGAAUCAAUUGCAAAAAAUAUUUCUUCGAAUAAACUCCUCGGCAUCUCUUGUCUUUGAAAACUUUCAACCUUCGCAUGCUUUUUUUCGUCUCUCUGUUCAGUAGACAAACCUUUUUCAUUCUCAGCUUCACUGUUACGACUUUGGUCUUCAAUUACUUCUGCACUAAUGGGCUCGGAGACGCCAUCUUCUUCAAUCUCUGAUUCGGCAGUGGGUGUUUGAACGUUUGAUGAAUCAUUAGAAGGAAUUUGAGACGAAAUUUCCAUUUCUCGAGCCGCAUGCUUCUUCUUAGCCUUUUUUUGUUUUAAAAUUGCCAAAAUAGUUUGUGGGUCUGUAGCAUCCUCUAUUGAAAUAGGUGCUUUAAGAGAUUCCUCCAAAGCAGUUUGCCUUCUAGCGCGACGUGCUUCACGCCUUUCUUUGGCAGAUACUUUCUUAGCUGUUAUAACUUUAGAACCUUUUUUACCACGCUUUUCGCUGACAAUAUGGAUGUCUGAACCAGUGGUAUCAGGAGUACUUUGAUUGUUGGUGUCCUCAUUGUAACUGACUUCAGACACAACAUCUUGAAUGUUAUCUUCAGAAGUUACCGAAGUACCUUCCAUUUUAAGUUCCGACACCUUUCCUUGAGUUUCAACAACCUCCAUUUCUAACCUUCUAGCUUUGCGACGCUCAGAACUUUUUUCAUCUAACUGCCAUAAUAUUCCAUAUCCCAUAAUGAGGACAGUAGGAGGUAAAUAGUUUUUUUUGGCCCGAAUAGCAAAACUUCCUGUUGGAAGAAUUUCACCUGUUGGAGCAAGUUUCGAUACCUCAUCAAUUCGAACCCACCAUGCACUGAUUACGGUCUUUGAAUCCCAUGCUUUAGAUGAAGCCAAAGCCAAGGAUCCAGCUUGUUGUAGAGUAUUAGGGGGAAUAGGAUCAUGAGGAUUUUUGUUUUUUACAAUAAUUAUCGAAGACUUUGGCAAAUCUGCACAAACAAAGAUAUCACCUGUGUUGCAAUACUUUUGGAAAAGUAAUUCAUUUUGCUGGGCAUCACGGCCUCCCAGAACUAGAUAACCUUCCGAAGAAAUAAACCAAUGAAACUUUUCAAAAAAGAAUGUCUUUCUACCAAGGAGAAUACGUUGUGUAUCUGCAGUAGUAGAGCGCUUCAAAUCCUGUUCAAUCUUGCGUUGGGUGCUUUUCAGGGCUUUUGAGGCUGCCUCCGCAGUCUUUGUUUCUUUAAUUAAAGCUUCUCGACGUAAUUCAUACUGUUUACGCGCAUUUGCAAAGGCGCCAAGAGAUAAAUCCAAUUCAACGGCAAUAAACUUUGACGAAACUUUUCCUUCCUUCACUUUAUUAUCAUCAUCAGAAUCAUCCAAAUCAUCAUCGCUGGUUUCUGAACUUUCAUCAGAAUUAUCUACAGACUCUGGAUUAGGAAGAAAAACGGUAACGGCGUUUUUUAUAAGUUUAAGGGGAAUUUGAAUAGCAGCAGCUACCGGACUUCUUCUUUUUUGAGAUUGAAUUAACUUUUCAAUAUCUAACCAAUCCAUUCCUUGGUUCAACAGAGAGUUAAUGUAUGAGAUAAUAGCCUCAACAAGUUCAGGGUUCAUCUCAAUUGCCUGAGCCCUCAACGCACAAGUAGCUUGGGCAUCUUGUAAACUUUGAAGUUUUCGUGCUUGAUCCUCUUUAGCCGAUUCAAGCCUUCGCUCAGCUGUCGCUAGGCGAUCAUGUGCUCGUUUUUUUAGCUUUUGUGCUUCGAUAGAAGAGAAAAACUCGUCAACGCAUUCGUUAUAGGUUGGAAACUCCAUGCACUUUCUGUUUGCCUGAACGAGCUGUAAAGGCUGAAAAGGGUGAAAAUCUUCGUAUAAUGUAGUACAUUCUUCAGGGUGUUGAGGAUCAGCAGCAUUUGUUAGUGCUUGCUCCAGUGAAAAUAUAUAACCCUUUACUGGGGGCUUAUUAACUGCAGCUAAUAUGGAGUCGGCUUCUUGAAAAGCAGCUAAUAAAUCGUUUUUCUUGGUUUCGUCUGCACAGAGCUGGCAAGCAGGGAAUAGUGGAUCUAAUUUUGAACGCCGAAGACAGUGCUCUAUAAGUGCAUUACCAUAUUCACCUAAUCUUAUAGUCAAUGCUUUUCUAAGAGAAACUGGUUUGGGUACUUUAAUCGGCUUUGUAGAAGAGGAUAGUUGUUGGUCAGGUAAAGGUUCGUUAAUAGAAGUAGGAGAAGCAUAAGCAGUGCUUAUUUCAUCCAAAAGGAUAUUUAAUCGUUCAGCUGUCAUAUGAGGAAUAGUAGACUGAGAUUUAUUGUCAUUAACGAGAUUAUUUUUGUCUAAAUUGUACUUUUGCCCUACGGCAUAAACUUGGUCUUUAUCGAAGGUGACCACUCGUAAAAGAGACAGAAUCUUGUAAUGGCCGUCUAAUAGUAAAACAUUUCCAGCAGCGAAAAAUUCACAAACCAGAUAGUACGUCCAAUC